UUUGUCCGGUUGCUAAGACAGAAAGCCCGCCACAAACUAAGGGCAAAUGUUAUGCUAUUCAGCCGAAAAAUUGAACUAAAGUCUCGCUUUCUCUACUUACUACUUACUGAUGAUAAGAUUUUAAAUAAAAUAUCUGUGAUAUGCUUUUGAAGCUGCCAGAUCAAUCAUUGCCUGCCUAUAUACAUAUUUCAUUCAGUUAUUAAUAUUUUUUUAAAUUAAAUUAGUAAGAUAAGAUUGCAAUAUGGCAAGAGGAGCAUUUAUAGUAAUAGAAGGAUGCGACAGGAGCGGAAAAUCAACUCAAUGUAAAUUAUUAGUACAAGGAUUAAAUAAUUCUGGGAUCAAAGCGAAAAACAUUAGUUUUCCAGAUCGAUCGACUGAAAUUGGAAAAGUGAUUGAUUCGUAUUUGACGAAAAAAAUUGAGUUGCCAGAUCAGGCCAUUCAUUUACUGUUUUCAGCCAAUAGAUGGGAAUUGAAUGAUAUGAUGAAGCAACAAUUAGAAGAUGGAACGACUCUUGUUGUUGAUAGAUACAGUUAUUCAGGCGUUGCUUACUCCGCAUCAAAAUCGACUCAUAAUAUGGACAUUGAAUGGUUCAAAGCACCUGAAAUGGGUUUAUUGAAGCCAGAUGCUGUUUUCUUCUUACACCUUGAUAACGAUGUGGCUAAACAAAGAAAUGGAUUUGGAAAAGAAAGAUAUGAAAACAAAGAUAUUCAAAACAGAGUUGCCAAAUUUUUUAAAUCCUUUGAAAAAUUUGAUGAAUGGCAGGUAAUUGAUGCCAAUAAAACGGUUGAUCAAUUAAGAGAUCAGUUGAUGACUUUGGCUAAAAACUUAAUCGAAGAGAAAAAGUCAAAAUCUCUAAAUGUGUUAUGAUUAUAUGGGGUAAAAAAAUUGAAAACAAGAUGGCUAGAAGUUGAAAACAGACAGGAUAAGCAGAUAGAAUUGACCGAACUACAAAUUUGUCAUCCUAAGAGGAAAUCUCACAAUGUAACAUAAUGUGAUAUGUAGUUUUGUGCCUUCUGGUGUUUACAACUGAAAAUGUCAACAUACCAAAACAUUUGACAAACUACACCAGCAAGGAUGGUCAGAUCACAAUGAUCAGACACGACGAAAAUACAGGCUAAUAUGUUAUCGUGAGAAAUUCUUUCAAUCAUUUUGGACUCUGGUACACCAUUUUAGUCUGAAAAAUCUAGACCAACUUCGUGGCAGGUAAAUCAAAAUGUCCUAAAAUGACUAAACUAUCAUAUCAUCUUGUAUCACUUGGUUUAUCAUCUUAUAGAUCAAAAGAGGAAAUCUCACAACUUAAUGUAAUAUGAUGAUUUCUCCCAAGGGGACGACCAGGCAUGGAGUAGACCAAACUUUUU